rnacentral:rRNA from 1 species
UUCCCCUAGUAACUGCGAGUGAAGCGGGAAAAGCUCAAAUUUAAAAUCUGGUGGCCUUUGGCCGUCCGAGUUGUAAUUUAGAGAAGCGUCUUCCGCGCUGGACCGUGCACAAGUCUCCUGGAAUGGAGCGUCAUAGAGGGUGAGAAUCCCGUCUUUGGCACGGAUGCCUGGUGCUUUUGUGAUGCGCUCUCGAAGAGUCGAGUUGUUUGGGAAUGCAGCUCAAAAUGGGUGGUGAACUCCAUCUAAAGCUAAAUAUUGGCGAGAGACCGAUAGCGAACAAGUACCGUGAGGGAAAGAUGAAAAGCACUUUGGAAAGAGAGUGAAACAGUACGUGAAAUUGUUGAAAGGGAAACGCUUGAAGUCAGUCGCGUCGACCGAGACUCAGCCUUGCCUUGGCUUGGUGUACUUCUCGGCCCGACGGGUCAGCAUCAAUUUUACCCCUCGGAUAAUGGCAGGGGAAAGGUGGCACCUUUACGGGUGUGUUAUAGUCUCUUGUCGCAUGUGAGGGGUGGGAUUGAGGAACUCAGCGCGCACCUCAGUGUCGGGGCUUCGGCCCACGUCACGCGCUUAGGAUGCUGGCGUAAUGGCUUUAAACGACCCGUCUUGAAACACGGACCAAGGAGUCCAACACGCCCGCGAGUGUUCGGGUGGAAAACCCGUGCGCGUAAUGAAAGUGAAAGUUGGGACCUCUGUCGUGGAGGGCACCGACGCCCGGACCAGACCUUCUGUGACGGAUCUGCGGUAGAGCGUGUGUGUUGGGACCCGAAAGAUGGUGAACUAUGCCUGAAUAGGGUGAAGCCAGAGGAAACUCUGGUGGAGGCUCGUAGCGAUUCUGACGUGCAAAUCGAUCGUCAAAUUUGGGUAUAGGGGCGAAAGACU